rnacentral:lncRNA from 1 species
AGAUAACAUGCAAAUUCGUGAAGUGUUCCAUGUUAAAAAAGAGAAAGAAAACAUUUAAAUCUUAGGUAGCAAGUAGUAAACACAAAAGAGAAAUUCUUGAAUAAAAUUUAUUUUCAGAGUCUUCACUCUUGUGUAACAUUCAAGAACUGUUUUUUUGGUUUUUUUGUUUUUUUAAAAAUAACCAGUAUCCUGCAAGUUGCCAGGUUUCACUUAUCUACUUUCUCAUCUGCCUUCAGUAUAGGUCCCUUUUCUUCUCUUUCCUCUUGAAUUAAUACUCUACCUACUUCACAGGCCGGUUCUUUGAUGAGAAUGAGUCCCCUGUUGAUCCGCAACAUGGCUCUAAACUGGCGGAUUAUAAUGGGGAUGAUGGUAACGUAGGUGAGUAUGAGGCAGACAAGCAGGCCGAGCUGGCUUACAAUGAGGAAGAAGAUGGUGAUGGUGGAGAGGAAGACGUCCAAGAUGAUGAAGAACGAGAGCUUCAGAUGGAUCCUGCAGACUAUGGAAAGCAACGUUUCAAUGAUGUCCUUUAAGUCCUAAAGGAAAACUUCAGAAAACCUAAAGUGCUGUAAAAUGGAAUCAUUUCUACUUUGUCACUUUUGACUUUUGUUGUAAAGACAAGUUGUAUCAGUUGUAAAGAUACAUUGAGAUAGAGUUUAAGGAAAAACUUUAAUGAAGGAAUGUACUCGUGUACAUAUAUGAAACUUUUUCAUAUUGUAUUAUUAAAGCAGAGAGUUUUUUGGUUAUGACACAGUUGAGCCAAAAACAGUUAAUCUUUGCAUUUAAAGCAAACUAAUGUAUAUUUCACAUUUUAUCAAGCCUAAUUUUUCCACAAAUAGACAAGCAGGAGAAAAUAGUUGUAUAGGUUGUAUGUUGCACAUCGCAUAACCACAAGUGAGAACAUUUACUCAGCUGAAAAAUUUUUAUACACUAAUAUAUUCUUGUCAUCCCAACAGGUGUUCUGUUCUAUCUACCCCUCAUUUAAUGCUCUUCAAGGAGUCAUGCCUAGAAUAGUAAUACAAAAGAGGGGACACUGAAUACCAAACACUGGGGAACAUGUGUACAAAAUCACCUCCCUACUACUUUUAUUUUAAUGAGUGCUGAUAUUGUUUGGGCAGAUUAACUUUCAGCUGAGGCCUGAUGAAAGUUGAGAUAACUUUCAAAGACAUAAUAUUUAUAAGUUACUCCUUAGUUCUUGAAAUUGUGGAAUGCAUGAUUGACAACAUAUUUUC